rnacentral:rRNA from 1 species
AUUGAACGCUGGCGGAAUGCUUUACACAUGCAAGUCGAACGGUAGAGGGGCAACCCUUGAGAGUGGCGAACGGGUGAGUAAUGUAUCGGAACAUGCCCAGUCGUGGGGGAUAACGUAGCGAAAGUUACGCUAAUACCGCAUACGAUCUACGGAUGAAAGCAGGGGACUCGCAAGAGCCUCGCGCGAUUGGAGUGGCCGAUAUCAGAUUAGGUAGUUGGUAGGGUAAAAGCCUACCAAGCCGACGAUCUGUAGCUGGUCUGAGAGGACGACCAGCCACACUGGGACUGAGACACGGCCCAGACUCCUACGGGAGGCAGCAGUGGGGAAUUUUGGACAAUGGGCGCAAGCCUGAUCCAGCCAUUCCGCGUGCGGGAAGAAGGCCUUCGGGUUGUAAACUGCUUUUGUACGGAACGAACCGCGCUAGGUUAAUACCCUGGCGUAAUGACGGUACCGUAAGAAUAAGCACCGGCUAACUACGUGCCAGCAGCCGCCGUAACAC